rnacentral:lncRNA from 1 species
AGCCAGGGCAGAUGCUGUAGUCUUGAGGCAGAAUUUCUUCUCCUCCGGGAGAAAUCAACCGAUGGUAGAUGUUAACCAAGUCUGUAGAAUAUCUACUCAGCAGCAUCUAGUGCUGGAGUUAAAUAGCUGGGUGCUAUGGUCCAGCCAAGGUGCCGCCUGAAACACCCUCACAUGGUGGGAAGAGCGGUGGUUGAAGAAGGAACCCUGGAGACCUUGAUGUUGAAGAGAGGGCAAGGGAAGAGGGCUAAGGACAAGAAAAGAGCCAUUGGAGAGAGAAAGAGAUGAAGUGGAAGACAGUGAGUGAGGGGCUGGCAGAAGGAUUUCCCCUCUUCAAACUAGAGGAGAACUUCCUCAGCCUCCAUGCAGCCGGCCAGAUCCUAGGGCAAAGCUCUGGCUAGAGAAGGCAAGGACAGGCAAGAAAAUGUUUUAGAAAAAGACCCUUUCCAUCUGGAAUGCUUUUUCCAACUCCCUUCACACCUUCAGGCUGGCUUCUAGUUGCACCAGGAACUCUGGGCCCACGUGUGAGGUGCGGGGGCAACACUGUCCAUCGAGAGGACCUGUGGCUGCCUCCUCAUCCCUUCCACCAAGCGCAGGAUGGCACCAUUGCUGGCUUCUGCUGCCCUCUGUUGUGGUCCUGUACCUCCUCACCUGCUCAGAUGCUCCGCGGGGACUGAUGGAGCUCUUCCUGGUCUCCAGUGGUUCUUACUGGGUAGUGCUGGACAACAGAGUACCAGGAAGGCAGGGACCUGGCCAAGCGCACAUACGCAUGAGUGGAGGAAAUUUUACAAUUUUUAGGAAGCAACAAAGUAUAAAGUGG